CAAAGGUUUUCCAUAGGGCCGGGAGGUAUAGGAGCCGUCCGCCCGACCGUUGAACUCGAGGUCCCUCACGGACACAUAGAGGUUCCUUUGCUGCCCCUCGGGCCUACCAGAACUACAAGCCCGCUCCCUUCUUUCCCUCCCGUGGGAGGACGUGGCAGAAUCGGGGAGGACGUGGUCAGCCCUCAUACAGACGCCCUUAAGGGUGAGUACCCAGGAAUGUAUUUCUCUCCGGGCAAGUGUGGGGGGAAGAUUGGCUUUGUUUCUCGACAUGUGGGGCAUGAUCACCACAGAUGUGUGGGUUUUAAAUACGAUCAAAGGUUUUCGCCUAGAUCUUUUAUCUUCCCCUAUCCAGGUGGUUACGCCUCAGGAACUGAGGUUUCCGGAAGAG